rnacentral:rRNA from 1 species
UGGCGGCGUGCUUAACACAUGCAAGUCGAACGGAAAGGCCCUGCUUUUGUGGGGUGCUCGAGUGGCGAACGGGUGAGUAACACGUGAGUAACCUGCCCUUGACUUUGGGAUAACUUCAGGAAACUGGGGCUAAUACCGGAUAGGAGCUCCUGCUGCAUGGUGGGGGUUGGAAAGUUUCGGCGGUUGGGGAUGGACUCGCGGCUUAUCAGCUUGUUGGUGGGGUAGUGGCUUACCAAGGCUUUGACGGGUAGCCGGCCUGAGAGGGUGACCGGCCACAUUGGGACUGAGAUACGGCCCAGACUCCUACGGGAGGCAGCAGUGGGGAAUAUUGCACAAUGGGCGGAAGCCUGAUGCAGCAACGCCGCGUGCGGGAUGACGGCCUUCGGGUUGUAAACCGCUUUCGCCUGUGACGAAGCGUGAGUGACGGUAAUGGGUAAAGAAGCACCGGCUAACUACGUGCCAGCAGCCGCGGUGAUACGUAGGGUGCGAGCGUUGUCCGGAUUUAUUGGGCGUAAAGGGCUCGUAGGUGGUUGAUCGCGUCGGAAGUGUAAUCUUGGGGCUUAACCCUGAGCGUGCUUUCGAUACGGGUUGACUUGAGGAAGGUAGGGGAGAAUGGAAUUCCUGGUGGAGCGGUGGAAUGCGCAGAUAUCAGGAGGAACACCAGUGGCGAAGGCGGUUCUCUGGGCCUUUCCUGACGCUGAGGAGCGAAAGCGUGGGGAGCGAACAGGCUUAGAUACCCUGGUAGUCCACGCUGUAAACGGUGGGUACUAGGUGUGGGGUCCAUUCCACGGGUUCCGUGCCGUAGCUAACGCUUUAAGUACCCCGCCUGGGGAGUACGGCCGCAAGGCUAAAACUCAAAGGAAUUGACGGGGCCCCGCACAAGCGGCGGAGCAUGCGGAUUAAUUCGAUGCAACGCGUAGAACCUUACCUGGGUUUGACAUGGAUCGGGAGUGCUCAGAGAUGGGUGUGCCUCUUUUGGGGUCGGUUCACAGGUGGUGCAUGGCUGUCGUCAGCUCGUGUCGUGAGAUGUUGGGUUAAGUCCCGCAACGAGCGCAACCCUUGUUCACUGUUGCCAGCACGUUAUGGUGGGGACUCAGUGGAGACCGCCGGGGUCAACUCGGAGGAAGGUGGGGAUGACGUCAAGUCAUCAUGCCCCUUAUGUCCAGGGCUUCACGCAUGCUACAAUGGCUGGUACAGAGAGUGGCGAGCCUGUGAGGGUGAGCGAAUCUCGGAAAGCCGGUCUCAGUUCGGAUUGGGGUCUGCAACUCGACCUCAUGAAGUCGGAGUCGCUAGUAAUCGCAGAUCAGCAACGCUGCGGUGAAUACGUUCCCGGGGCUUGUACACACCGCCCGUCAAGUCAUGAAAGUUGGUAACACCCGAAGCCGGUGGCCUAACCGUUGUGGGGGAGCCGUCGAAGGUGGGACUGGUGAU